rnacentral:lncRNA from 1 species
CAGAGGGAAGCUGUGACAGGUGACCUUGGAGUCAGUGCCUCACCAGGGUCCCACCGAGCACAUUGUAGUAAACGUGCGCUGCGUGUGUGGGGGCGGGGCCAGAUGCGGCAAAUUGGGUCUUCGGCCUCUUUGGACAGCGGCGUCCCACAAGGAUCGAUGAGACACGUCCCCCUUCCUCAUCGUGCUACGACAACGAAUGAGCACAUCCCCUGCGGGGCCAUCCAUCCUCCACCCGUGUUCUUUCGAACAGGAGAGGCUCUGAAAGGGGAACGGAAACCACUCUCACAUAUGGUAAGUACUUGUCUUAGUGGGGGUCGCGGUGGUCCGGAGCCUAUCCCGUAUUUACCAGCCACUAGGUGAAGAGGGGUUACAGAUAUCAGACGUGUGUGCAGUAUGUGUGUGUUUGUGUGUGUCGAAUUUCUCACUUGCAUUUUCACACAUACUGCCAGUUUCCCUGCAGGCAGGAAUUAAUUCGCAUCCUGUCCCACUAGUCCUGUUCCACUUGUCCCAGAGUCCCAGGACACGUUCCGCCGCACACCUGCCGUUUACCGUCCGCGGGUCAGGUGCACCUGCAGGGCUCUCCGAGCUGUUCCCAGCCGCCUGCACUAGAUGGCGCUGAGCAGCUCCACACAGGUGAGUGUCUUUGUGACCGUGAGCUACGCCACGACGCACUCCACCUGCUGCCGAGGACCACAAAACGGAGAUACUGGCGCCCGCAUCCGAGGCGACCGCGGCAAGGACGGCGCUCGGCGCACAGAUGGGGGUUCACGGCUCCGGCGGAUGGGCGUUCGAAACCCUGACAGCCCUGGACGGCUCGUGGACACCCGCACCCUCCCCGUCCGCCUCCUGCCUUUGCAGACCUCUGACGUCCACCUGAGUGCCGGGAGCAGAGCGGGAAAGGCCCGUUGGCCACAGCCUCCCAAGUGACGCAGGUCGACUCAAGCGGUACAGAUGGCUGCCCGCACCCGCGUGUCUGCGAGUUUUCCACUAACCACGAAUCCCGAUGCGUCGGCCGCCCGCCAGCCCUCCUGUUCCCGGGGAACGGAUGGAGUUUGGGAUUAACUGCUGCUGUAGCACCAGCUGCCGUCUCCAAAUCCAGCUUUCGGAUUUAACACCCCGCCAAGCAUCGUGGCAGAGAUGGCCCGGGCACACCUCCUCGACAGCAGGGGGAUGACAGCGAGGGACGCGGGAGGGUCAAUGAGCGGCGAUGUUUUCCUUAAGUACUCACCUACACAGUCAGCAGGUGCCACUCGACAGAGAAAAUGAGCCUUUUUACCUGCAGCUUUCACAAGGAGUUCCUGAAGGCUGCGCUCUGAACAUCUCUCACAACUGGUCUCCAUUCAUCUUUCUACAUAAGGCAGAGAGACAAGUAGGUCGUUGCAAGAAAGACAGAAUAUGUAGAUCGGGGAAUUGCGCAUGAAUGCACACAUCUUGAGCAUUUCCCUCUGACUCGUGACCCCGCAGCAAAGGUGUCGAAAGACUUCUUGAUGUGUACAUAGGAAAGGGAUCUCAGGGGGCUUCUGUCUCGACAGACACAUGGACACACGCAGAGGAAACACACAGGACGACAUUUUCUUGCCUGACUGCCUGACUACCUGACUAUGGCAGGUACCAGCUGCUUCUUGUAUAACGCUACGAGUGCGAAGAUGAGAGGCAGCUGGUUUCAUGACCCAGAGUAGGUUGCCCGGGAGUGGAAGGAAAGCCUUAGUUCCUACUUGAUACGGCUGGGAGUCCACGAUGCCCUCUCCCCUGCGUUGCGGUAAGCCAUGUGGCCAUCCCAGGUCUACAGUCAAGCACAACGUCUAAUAAUGCUCGGGGUAAAUAAUAACGCACGUCCUUCUUCGUGGUCCCUUUCGCCUGGACUUUGGAGGACCUCUAGUCAAAAGGGUCACGUCUGUACGUGAGCAUCUGCUGAAUCGCCGCACAAGAAGAGGGCUGAGGGCCCACAGGACAAGAGCACCGAAGCCGCUUCCUUCCCCUCACACUCUUGAAUUCUUUCUUACCUCUCCACUUGCCACCAGUGGACGGACAAAUGGGGGCGGUACAGUUAGGAGAGUCAGUCCCGUUUUUCGACGCCCCUCACAGGAGUCUCUCAUUUACAGCUUUGCGGGACACGCAAGAUGAUGACUGACUUCUCCUCCCGAUUCCCUCACACAGGUCUGCUGUUUCUUUCCAUGACUCAUCCACAGAACGUCAGCGUGUUUUCCGCUGGGGCUCGCCACCGGGUUUGGAUCCAUUCGGCUGCUCCCAGACCGCUGUAACCCUUUGCAUUGCCCUUUCCUUCCCCCUCCUGUUGGAUUCCCUGUCGGAUUUGGCAGCCCGCAGGGAUACCUGUCUAGCAAGGCGUCCAGGUGGAAGCGCUGUGAUCCUGAUGAAUGUGCCUGGAAUAGUAAACAACAGAUGGUACCGUGUGGUCCCCGAGCUAAGUGGACCUGCGUUCUGUACAGUACGGCUCUGGGCAGCUCCUCGUGUCCCUGGCGGCCCCCAGUAGUCGAGCAGCAGGCUUUCGCUUGCUUAAUUAGAGCAGCAGCACGGCGGCGUCUCAGAGCUGGGCCUCUGGUGCCAGGCCAUGACCGUAGAGCGCCGAGACCCAAGCGUCCCAAGCCCACCGUCUUCGGAAAGCACUUUUUAAAAAAAGGGCCAGAAGGCUUUCCGGCCCUUUAACAACUCAAGUUAUUUCAUGUCGGCUUAACCUGAAGUAAUUACACGGCUGCAGGGAAAACAAAGUGGCUAAACCCUAAACGGGAACAAUGAAGUAAAAAAAUGGAAAAUAAAUACAAACUCGGCCGAAUAAUAUCCCGACA